AUGGCUAAUCUAAGCUCCCAUGUUACUGCGCUAUUCAUUGUUGUAGCAUUGGUAUGUGUGUGUUUGUUCCUGCAUUUUCAGUAGAAGAAGCUGAAGCAAAAACAUUAUGGGACACUUGUCUGGUUAAAAUCACUCCUAAGUGUGCAUUGAAUAUAAUCGCUGUUGUUUUUGGAAACGGAACCCUCAUUGAGUCUUGUUGCCACGAUCUUGUCCAAGAAGGAAAAGUGUGUCACGAUAAUCUCAUUAAAUAUAUUGCUGACAGACCAUCAUUAGUUGGCCGUGAAACACAAUACUUGAAGAAGAGGGAUGACGUGUGGAGUCAUUGUGUCUCAAUCUCUAAAACUGCUUAA